UUGUGGAUAUUUGAUUUCGUGGUUUUGACGGUCUCAGUAUACAAAGCCUUUUGAAAUUUUGGUAUUUCUUGAACAUUUGUAUUCGUGGGUCACCUUGUCCCUACGAAAUCCACAAUUUUUUUUUUUUUUUUUUUUUUUUUGUAAUGUGUUUAUUGGCAAAAAACUACAUAUAUAAUAAUAAUAGUAAGUAAGCAAAAUCGAGACAAGUACAUAAAGUUGAUAUUUUGAAUCAUUC
rnacentral:lncRNA from 1 species